rnacentral:tRNA from 1 species
GGAGAGGUCGCCGUUGGCUAAGGCAGCGGCCGGCUUGCUGGUCGCGGUGGUUAAUCCACCCGAGGGUUCGAAUCCCUUCCCUCUCCGCCA